rnacentral:rRNA from 1 species
GUCGAUUGACGUUACCCGCAGAAGAAGCACCGGCUAACUCCGUGCCAGCAGCCGCGGUAAUACGGAGGGUGCAAGCGUUAAUCGGAAUUACUGGGCGUAAAGCGCACGCAGGCGGUCUGUCAAGUCGGAUGUGAAAUCCCCGGGCUCAACCUGGGAACUGCAUUCGAAACUGGCAGGCUAGAGUCUUGUAGAGGGGGGUAGAAUUCCAGGUGUAGCGGUGAAAUGCGUAGAGAUCUGGAGGAAUACCGGUGGCGAAGGCGGC